rnacentral:misc_RNA from 1 species
CAACCCUCAGCGCCCCCCCUUCCUCGGGAGGGGGGGCCGCUGGUGCUGGGGAUCGUCCGCCCUCGCGGCGGCCGGCCCUGAAAUAUAGUGGCGGUCCCGACGCGAUCUCCUCUGUGCAGUAGUGAUACCUCGCAGCUGGAUAGCGACGCGGCCACGCCGUAAACCUGCAACUUAACGUGG